CAGUCUCUUUUCGCAGAGACGUGGCUCUGCCUCUUUCUCAGAGACAUGGCUCUGUCUCUCUUGUGGAGAUGUGGCUCUUGCUCUGGCUGGUGUGGCUCAUGGCAGUGUGCUGGGUGUCCUGGGAGAAGCUCUGUAGCAUGGUUUAGGGUUGAAGGUUAUCAUGAGGAAGAAAAGGAUUUGCUAAGUGGUGUGAAGAAAACUUCAGAGAACAAGAGUAACUUUCCUGUAACAAAGUGUUUUCAAUAUCCUUAAGUACUUUAUAGGCACCCUUUUAUAUUCAAGUAAUUUAUAUAUAAAUUACAAAUCAUUAAAUGG
rnacentral:lncRNA from 1 species